rfam:Monodelphis domestica chromosome 2, whole genome shotgun sequence.
CAAAAGGCUCUUUUAAGAGCCACAUAUUUUCAUCAAAAAGAACUGU